CCAAUAGCGUAUAUUAAAGUUGUUGCAGUUAAAAAGCUCGUAGUUGAAUUUCGGGAUCAGUACGCCGGUCGUGCCUCGGUAUGUACUGGUGUUACUGGUUCCUACCUUCUGACGAACCGUCAUGUCAUUAAUUUGGUGUGGCGGGGAAUCAGGACUGUUACUUUGAAAAAAUUAGAGUGUUUAAAGCAGGCUCGCGCUUGAAUACAUUAGCAUGGAAUAAUGAAAUAGGACGUUCGAUCCUAUUUUGUUGGUUCCUAGGAUUGACGUAAUGAUUAAUAGGGGUAGUUGGGGGCAUUAGUAUUCAAUUGUCAGAGGUGAAAAUCUUGGAUUUAUUGAAGACUAACUACUGCGAAAGCAUUUGCCAAGGAUGUUUUCAUUAAUCAAGAACGAAAGUUAGGGGAUCGAAGACGAUCAGAUACCGUCGUAGUCUUAACCAUAAACUAUGCCGACUAGGGAUCGGAUGAUGUUAUUUUUAGUGACUCAUUCGGCGCCUUACG
rnacentral:rRNA from 1 species